GACGAACGCUGGCGGCGUGCUUAACACAUGCAAGUCGAACGGAAAGGCCCUGCUUGCAGGGUACUCGAGUGGCGAACGGGUGAGUAACACGUGGGUGAUCUGCCCUGCACUUCGGGAUAAGCCUGGGAAACUGGGUCUAAUACCGGAUAGGAGCCAUUUUUAGUGUGAUGGUUGGAAAGUUUUUUCGGUGUAGGAUGAGCUCGCGGCCUAUCAGCUUGUUGGUGGGGUAAUGGCCUACCAAGGCGGCGACGGGUAGCCGGCCUGAGAGGGUGGACGGCCACAUUGGGACUGAGAUACGGCCCAGACGCCUACGGGAGGCAGCAGUGGGGAAGAUUGCACAAUGGGCGCAAGCCUGAUGCAGCGACGCCGCGUGGGGGAUGACGGCCUUCGGGUUGUAAACUCCUUUCGCUAGGGACGAAGCUUUUUGUGACGGUACCUAGAUAAGAAGCACCGGCUAACUACGUG
rnacentral:rRNA from 1 species